rnacentral:RNase_P_RNA from 1 species
CGAGUUGACUAGACAAUCGCUGUACUGAAUUCUCCAUUUCUCGCUAGCGUUUUAUGGGGAGCGGUAUAGAGGAAAGUCCGGGCUCCAAAGGGUAGAGUGCCAGGUAACGCCUGGGGGGCGAGAGCCUACGGAAAGUGCCGCAGAGAGCAGACCGCCGAUGAUUCGCUCGCGAACACAGGUAAGGGUGAAAGGGUGCGGUAAGAGCGCACCGC